UGUGUUUGUAUUGUAAUUUUUAUUAACCGUAUUACAUCGAAUAUCCAGUAAGGGGGUAGACACUUUUUAAAAGUAGUAUACAUUGAGUUCCUCAGUGAUAAGCACUGUUACAUGUCUAUAUCUGUAUGAUAUAUGUGUGUGUUACUCACUUGAUCUUCUUAAAAACCCUAUGAAAUAAGGCAAUAUUUUGGUAAUUGAAAUUUUAAAUUAUAAAAUGUAUACCAACUGGGAAAAAUUUAAAUUAUUUACAUUGCUAGAAAUGGGUAAAUUUUGAAUUUGUAUGAGUCUCCUUAAGGCCAAGAUUAUGCCACAGUUUCCUUUUUUUCUGCAUUUUUAGUGGUCUUGUCUCCUGCCCUAACGUCUCCAGUGUAUUUGUCCCAUUUUUCUGAAGUCUUUGCUUCCAGGAGACUGAAAGAGAAAAACCUGACCAGGACUGAAAGAGUAAAAAUCAGAAAAAGCAGCCCUACCUUUCAUCAGCUUGGGAGGACAAGACAGGUAAAUAGAGCCAGCUGCCAAGUGAAUGAAACCUUUCCCCCAGCCCUGCAAAGUGCUAAC
rnacentral:lncRNA from 1 species